GAAAAGACAGGAGAUUCCAGUCCUUCUGCAGAGGCUUUCUCCAAGCCCCCAGUACACUCAGCACCUCCCCCAGCCCUUGGUGGCUGGGGACCUGGCCUGGCUCUUGGGCAGCUGCUGGCAGCAAGGAGCAGAGACAUUUAGCCUUCAGCGGGGCCCGGGGCCAGACUUCGACCAAGAGGACAUCAGAGGACAUAGCCUCAGAGAGACCAAGCCCCAGACAGCCUGAGACAGACCAACUGAAACACAGCGCCAGGCCCGUGGAAGGAGAAAAGGAAAUGGAGGAUGAGAAUAAGCAGAAAAAAGGGAAGAAUUAAAGAAAAGAAGGAAAGCAAGAGGAAAAGAGAUAGGAGAGCAGGGAAAGGAAGGCAUGCAGAGACCAAGGAGGAGGAAGGGCAGCAAUACGCAGGAAGGACGCAACGGGGCAGGGCUUGAGCUGGUGCUGGCGGAGCAGAGCAGCCGUGGCAUUGUGCAGUCUGCUUGCUUGCUGGGCCUUUGCCGAGGGACCAGCUCUGGGGCGCGGCAGCCACUUCUGUCUGGACACAAAGGAGGAAGAGGCCUCCUUUCCUGUCCCUCUUGGGGACCUGGCUCUGGUGGGUAUACUAGGCCUCUGGGACACAGAAUCCUACAUUGGCCCAAGCAACCGCCUAGGCAGCAGGGGACUGAACAUGCUCUAGUCAAGAAGCAGCGAAGAAACAGAAGAGGAAAGAGGUUUUUUGCGUCUUUACCAGGUUACAGGGCCUGUCUGCCUCAAUCUCAGCUUCCCUAGAGGAAAGAGUCCUUAAGGAUCCUCUCCUAUGGGCCUCUGCUAUUUGGGAGAGCCCCUCCAAUAGACUUGGUGGCUGUAAAGAGAUGUCUCUUCUCUCCUAUCCCCUUUGAACACGGCCUUCUUUUCAACUCCUGAGCUCCCUGUGAACCAGGCCUGCUACCCUGCGGAGGCACAGCAGCCAGGCUGUCAGGAUCACUGUCCAGGGAUCCCUGUUGCCAUCAAAUCCUCCAGGAAACAAACCAAGAGGGAAUUGCAGCCUUCCCUUCCUUUUGGAAGCAGGAACUCUGGACUCUCCCCACUCAGGCACAGGCACAGCUGUGGAUCAUGAAGCAGGCCUUGUCCACAGAGCCCUCCUGGCCAAUGCCUCAUUUCCCCCAUGCCUCACAGAGAGGGGCAGCUGUGAGGAGGGGGCCUUACAGAGCCUGGGAGACCCCUGGAGAGCCUGGUCCACUAGGCCCAGGUCCUACAGGUUCCAGAACUGCAUGUGGGCUGUAGCCUCCAUUCUCCACAUUUGAAAGCAGAAUGGCAGGUCAGGGGUCUGAAGCAGGCUUUCAGGCUUCCCCUAAAUCCAGGCUUGUUAGGUGUGGGAGCAAAAGGAUGGGGGGGCAAAAGGGAGAAUCUCAUCUUCUUGGAGUUCAGUUACUCCUGCUGGAUCUCCUACCAUACUCCAGGACUCAUCUUCACCACUUCUUCAAUUUUCCUUAGCACUCCUGGGGAACCUGAGGGACCUGAGGCGCUGGGAGUCCCUGUUGGGAGGCGGGGAAACUCCAGCUCUGGCUAGCAGCUCUGUACUGCUCUGCUUCUUAGCGGUCCCCUCCCACGCCCAGAGGAUUUCACUGGGCACCGGAGAGUCCGCUAAGGGGGAGUGGCACCUUUCCUGCAUCACCUCAAACCUGGACAGCUGAGACCACAAUCAAGCUAGCAUCGCGGGAAGGACAGACAGAAAGACAGUUAAGGCCUGCGCUGGAAGCAGAAACUGAGUUUUCCUGCCCUGCCGCGAGAAGACCCACGUCCUGCCCCCACCCCAGGAAAUUUGCAGUGACUUUGGAGCCCAGACUGAGGAAGCCGAGGUGGCGAAAGGAGAGACAAUACGGUCCCGAAGUACAAUUAAGGAGCCAGAGCUGCUCCUCUCUCCCCCGCCCUCCUUGCCAGACUGCGAGCUGUCUGGUCUCCAACCUCUGGGCGACUCGCGAACCUGGAGCCAGAAACUCAGCCCGAGGCGGAGGGCGCCAGAGGACUCCGCACCCAGAAAACCAGGAGGGAAGCUGCCUUCCAACCUGGGGGGCACCGUAACCAGCCCCGCUGAGAUGCAGCGAAUCCAAUGAAUGAAUGUGCACAUUCCGACGACGAAUUUUCCCGAAUUUUCUCAGCCUUUGGAAGGAGAGCCCAGGGUUUGGGACAUCUCAGACAGACAGUCAGACAGACAGGCAAACCGCAUCUCCUGAGGCAGACAGGCUCACAACAUGAGUGUGAGCCUGAAAUCAUAUACAGGUUCAACAUUCCCGAGGCCUCUUUGCCCGGCCUGGCGGGCGCCGAUCUCUCCUACCUUCACUCCUGCCAGGGCCUCAGGCAGAGACCCAUAGGACUCGGUCCCGCUGGCUCGGUCCAGGUCCCGCCUCGGGAAGCGCCUUCGUUACCUGCUCCUCGGCUCCCCACGGCCACAGAUGCAGGGCAGCCGCCUCCGCCCGGGGAGGGAAGCCCUGGCCACCACCGCAGCCGCCGCCACCCGCCCUCCUUCCCUCCCUCCCUCCUUCUUGCCCUCCCUCCCUCGCUCCCUCCCUCGCGCGCUGCCGCUUGCGGGGCCCUCCCGCGGGCAACCUGCUCUGGACCAAAUCCAGGUAUCUCCAAAAGAGAGAAAAAAAGAGAGGACUUCUUAGGUGGAAAAGGACAAAAACAAAAAAGAAAGACCUUUCAUUGCAUUUAUUUUUCAUGCUCUGACCAGUGGUCGGCCUCAGUUCAAAUGUCUGGGACACAGCCCAGCAACCGCAGAGGUGUGCAGGGCCUGCUGCCUCACCCACGCCGCCGACCGCCCCGCGCCCUGCGCGCUGCACGCUCCACAAGCUGGGCCGCCGCCCCCAGCAUUCCAAACACCCAACAGACCUCAAGGUCCAUCCUACAGACUCAACAUCCGGUUGCCCGCCUCUGCGCUGACCACAACCCUGGAGCCCUCUGCUCCGUCUGGGGGCAAAGUCGACACACAAAGCACCUUGUCUGUGCUCUGGAGCCCAGCCUGGACCCCCUCUGGGUGAAGCCGCCCGCCGGGCUACACUUGGGCUGCGUUCCUGCUGGGGACUUCCAACCUCAUCCCCUGCUUGGGACCUACACAAAGCCCAGUGCUCUGGCCUUUCCUACCCAUAGCCUCCCUUCGCCAGUUGUCGCCUUCCCCUUCACCUGUUCCCAAGAAGGGCUUCAUCUCCAAGCGAGCAGAGCCAAGGCCGAUGGCCGGAGCGAGGUCCCAGGGAGGCCACAGCGGAUCAGCCGGGCUAAGCUGGAGGCCCUGCAGCCGCUGAGAUAUCUGAGAGACCAAGCCUCUCCUUGGCGAGCUCUAGGCUUUUCCUCCUUCUCCUGCAAGUCUCAAACACUCACACGCCGCCGAGAGUUCAGCUCUAUAAAUCCUGCUCCUCUUUCCCAUAUCAUAAUUAAAAAAAACCAGUAGGGGAGGUUUUAACUUUUAUUGCGAUUUCUAGAGUUGGGCUGCGGAGCAUAUAUUAAGUUUACGCUUAUGCGCUCCCGGCGGGGAGGGUCCUUUAAGAAAUAAAAAUCCAUCUUAAUAUCUGC
rnacentral:lncRNA from 1 species